rnacentral:rRNA from 1 species
URAUUUAGUUAAAAUAUKUAAAAGGAAMUCGGCAAAAUUUGAAUUAAUUUGACUGUUUAUUAAAAACAUAGUAAUAAGAAAUUACUUAUUAUCUAAGCUGCUCAAUGACAAAACUCUUGUUAAAUAGCUGUAGGAAAUCUAUACAAAGGUAGCGUAAUAAAUUGUUUUUUAAUUGAGAACCUGUAUCAAUGCCUGAACACAAUUAAUGCUGUCUCUUAAAUAAUAAAAAAAUUUAAUUUUAAAGUGAAGAAGCUUUGAUAAAAUAAAAAGACAAAAAGACCCCAUUGAAUUUUAAAAUAAUUAAUAAAUGUUAAUAUUUUUUAUACUGGGGUAGUACAGGAAAAGCUUUCCUGAAAUUUAAAUCUAUGGAGACCCUUUAAUAAGAGAAUCUAGAAAAAAUUACCAUGGGGNUAACAGUGUAUCAUUUUCAAAAAGUACUAUAAG